UAACAUAUUAUAAGUUUAUGAUUGCAAUCCAAAAAGAAAGAGAGACAUAUGGCUAGAAACAACUUAAUAAUAACAAUGUGGAUUAUUGGAUUAGUUAUGUAUGUUGCGAUUGCUGAAGUCUAUGGCAACAUUCCUAAACAAUCAUGGACUCCAUCAUAUUAUGUUGCAUCAGUUAUGCGACAACAAUGUAUUGAAGAUUGUAAAACGCACUCACCGGACCCAAUAGUUUUGACAUUGUGCAUUAAUAGAUGUGAAAGUAUGCACCCGCAUGACUAGUGCUUGGGUAGUGGUCUUUCAAAGUCAAAAUUUAAAUAAAUUCUCCCAUGGAUAGAAUAUUCAAGCACUUUGAUCAUAUCAGAAAGUGGAUGAUUCGCAAUGUUGGUUUUAUUAGGUGUUUCAAUGAUUGUUUACAAUAUUAUUUCCUUGUCGUGUAUCUCAAUUAUAUUAUGUUUGAGUAUCAACACUUUAAUUAUAUUUAUUGUAAUUCAAUGGUAGCAACCUAUAUGUUACAAUCAAAUGCAGUAAAACAUCCUGAGAUGAAUUAAUAAUAGCUACAAUUAUUAUUAAUAAAUUCUCAGUCUAAACUCCAA